GUCCACGCCCUAAACGAUGCAUAUUUGGUGUGGGUCAUUCAGUUGAUCCGUGCCGGAGCUAACGCGUUAAAUAUGCCGCCUGGGGAGUACAGUCGCAAGGCUGAAACUCAAAGGAAUUGACGGGGGCCCGCACAAGCGGUGGAGCAUGUGGUUCAAUUCGACGCAACGCGAAGAACCUUACCUGGGCUCGAACGGCUGGUCAACGGAGGUGGAAACACUUCUACCCCGCAAGGGGGUCCAGUCGAGGUGCUGCAUGGCUGUCGU
rnacentral:rRNA from 1 species